AUGCCUUUUGAAACAGAAGAUUCAAUUUAUGAAAAUAAAAUGAUUUUGGUUUUUUCUUUCUCUUGGACUUCAACCAAGAUUUCGUCUCUCUCUAACAAAUAUAUCCGUAUGAUUUGGUUUUGAUGUAACGAUAAAUAUUAUUAGAUUUCAUCCAAGUUCAUCAACAAGAGACAUCAAAAUUUGUUUUAAAAAGGUUCAAUUUCAAACACAAUUCAAGUUCCCUGAUAUGUAUAAUCGAUCACAAACAAUAGAUUGCAAUUCAAGUUCGAUGAUGAUGAACUUAUUGUAAACAAUCGAACAACAAUCCAAACCGAUGCACCGGACUACAUGUAAACAUUCAUAAAGGUUUGACAAGCAACGAAUAGACGUGUCUAUUCCAAGCAGCAUUCAUAAACCUAUGCGUUGCAUCUUUUACGGAACCGUCAUGUCUAUUCCGUAACAUCCUUCGGUGAUAGGGAUCAUUAGGGUCAUCAAAUUGGUACCAGCGCAAAGGUUGUGAAGAAUGGAUCAAGAAGAAGAACACGAUUAGGAGGGGAGGUUGUGUCGUUUCGAUUACCGAUCAUAUAAGAAGAAGGAAAGAAAUCAGGGAGACCGAUUCGGUUGUUAAAAUCCCAAAGCUUUGUUGAACGCAUCAAGAAGUGCGUUGAUAUGAUUUUAAUGUAUUAGUCUAUUUAAACUACGAUGUUGUUGCCAAAAAUUGUGAUUGAUUUCUAGAAAACUGCUUUUGAUCCGAAAGAAAUGAUUGUGCAA
rnacentral:lncRNA from 1 species